rnacentral:rRNA from 1 species
CGCGGCCUAUCAGCUUGUUGGUGAGGUAACGGCUCACCAAGGCAUCAACGGGUAGCUGGUCUGAGAGGACGAUCAGCCACACUGGGACUGAGACACGGCCCAGACUCCUACGGGAGGCAGCAGUAGGGAAUCUUGCGCAAUGGGCGAAAGCCUGACGCAGCAACGCCGCGUGGGGGAUGAAUGCCUUCGGGUUGUAAACCCCUUUCAGCAGGGACGAAAAUGACGGUACCUGCAGAAGAAGCUCCGGCCAACUACGUGCCAGCAGCCGCGGUAAUACGUAGGGAGCGAGCGUUGUCCGGAAUUAUUGGGCGUAAAGAGCUCGUAGGCGGUUCAGUAAGUCGGGUGUGAAAACUCAAGGCUCAACCUUGAGACGCCACUCGAUACUGCUGUGACUUGAGUCCGGUAGAGGAGUGUGGAAUUCCUGGUGUAGCGGUGAAAUGCGCAGAUAUCAGGAGGAACACCAGCGGCGAAGGCGGCACUCUGGGCCGGUACUGACGCUGAGGAGCGAAAGCAUGGGGAGCAAACAGGAUUAGAUACCCUGGUAGUCCAUGCCGUAAACGUUGGGCACUAGGUAUGGGAUCAUAUCAACGGAUUCCGUGCCGUAGCUAACGCAUUAAGUGCCCCGCCUGGGGAGUACGG